GUUUUAGCGUACGUGACCCCCUCCGAAAUUCUGUUUGCCUGCUCCCGAAGGUGACGGGUGGGCAGAGGGGCCCCUGGAAGUGUUUUUUUAUGGCACCAAGAGUCCAAUCAGGAGACUGAGGUUUCUUUGCCUCUUUUCGUUGCUGGGUCCGGGAAAGAGCUGCACCUCGUGGAUCAGCCUGUGCCCGCUGGGACCUGCCACUCGGAACUGGAGACAACGGAGAGCCCCAGCCUCCAUCCAGCUGGUUCCCGGGCCAGGGAUGCACAGCGCCCCCACCUGCUGGGCUGCUGCCCCCCCUCCCCCCCAGGUCUUAGGCCGACUGCUGACCCAGUGACCUCUGACCAGGGGCGGCAGUAACGCCCCACAGGGCCCCUCACUAAACUAAUAACAGGGUGUAUGUUUCCAGGUAUGACAAAUGGGUGAGGAGACCAGCAGAGGAGAACCUGAGAAAGGACAAUAUCCAAAAUCAGAUUUAUGCUGACAGAAGCCAGCUUAAAAAAUGCUCUUUUAAUCCAAACAUCAGUAGGUAAAGCUGGCUGACUGACAGUGUGCCUGUUUGUGUGCCUACUUUGCUUGGCAAAAGACAUUCAGUUUUGUGUUUGUUAGGGCUAAAGCUAACUUGGAAUAGUUGCCUCUUUCCCAGCUUUUACAAUUUGGGAGCCAUGAUACUGGAAUAGACUAUUAGAAGCUUUGAUCUUUUUUCACAGUUGAUAAUACAUUCAUAGUUUAGUUCUGAUAAAGCAAAGCGGCAGUGUCUAAGGAUAUUGCGCUUAUGAUUUCAAGUCGUGACUUCAUAUGGAAAAGAAGACAACUACCUCUCGAUGAUUGCCUUCUAAAUUAGUUGUACUUAAUAGAAUAAAAUUAAAAAUUAGUCUACAGUAGUUGAUGAAAAUGUAGGCAUUUAAAAGUGGAGGACUGCACUUUUCUCUCAUCUUUAUCUUUUAUAUGCAUUCAGAAUGAGUGCAUAGUGAACACUAGUUGGUAAGGCCUUAAUUUUAUGUCUAAUGAGAUAGUUCAGCAUUUCAGAUGAAAAGAUAAAUGAGUAAGACGUUAUUAUCUUGGAAAACAGUUCCUAAAUCUGAUUUCUUUUCAGGCCUUCUGAACCUAGCAGAUAAAGAACAACACAUUGUUAGAUUGUGAAACAUUGCUGCAAUAUAAAAUAAUUAGGUAAACCAAGGAGAAAAAUAUUUUAAACAGCUUUAAAAAAAAAACAUAUGUUUAAGAUUGGGUUUAUGGUCUAGAAUUAGAUUGUAGCAAAAUUUACUAUGUGAAUAUUUUUUAAUCAUAAUGAUCAUAUUAACAGUGAAUACCACAAAAAACAUGUACUCUUAUAUAAUACCUUUUGUAAACUAAGUACUUUAAAACUCUUAAAAACCAUUUUAUAAGCCCCUGAAACAUCAUAAAAUUCUGAAAGGAUUGCUUUGGAAAACAACACAUAAUCUACUCAAGAUGGAAGUGGAGCUGAGAGAGGAUGGGUUGUGUUAGUUAUUUCUUAUCACAGGAAAUGUUUCCCUGCAUUUGUUAAGUAAAGAAUUCAAAUUCAUAGGUAAAGUUAUAUUUUAUGAUUCUUUUUGAUGUUGAGAUAUAGUUCUAUUUUCAUUGGUAUGACGAGAUGUUUUCCUAAAUAUGAGACAUUCAUUGCCCAUCAGUGAAAGAUCACAUUAAGCACAUCUUAAAUUACUACUCUUUCCAUGGCAUAUAAAUAUUAACAUAACUCUAUAUUUUUUUGCAGGGAGGAGGGUUGGAAGAAGUUAUUCAUUCCAUGAAUUUAUUGAGUACUUCCAAACACCAGGCACAGGGUUAGACUCUGGGAUUUGAAAGUAAAGAUACUCCUAGAUUUUAUAGUAGUUUGAGGAAGCAGGCCUGUGAGUAAACAGUCACAAUCCACUUUAAAUCUUGCCAGCGUGAAACUAUGCAGGAAGAAUCGUGAGAAGGCCUAGGACCUGCAAGGAGGGCAUCAGACAUCCUCUGUGUGGAUAAGAAGGGUGAACUGAGCUUUCCUUCCACCUGACUCACCCUGCAGACUUUUGAAAAUAUUAAGAAGAAUGUUAGAGGGAUUUUACUAGAGCAGUUAAACAAUUAUUGAAUUUCUUGCCAACUAGAUACUCUUGGGAACAGGAUGGUUUGUGUUGAGCAAGGGAAAAGUAAAUGGCCCUACUUCCUUUUGCUCAGUGCCCCCACAUCCAUGUGAAGUUUUCCUUGAGUCAUCUGGAACUGCUCCAUCUCUGAACACUGGAAACCUCCCCACCGUUGCCACAUCCUACCCUUCUACCUCUCCCACCAGAGCUAUUGUUUGACUUGAGACUUUUCAGUCACCAAAACCCUCCCAGUUCUUCCAGUUAAUUGGCCAUUUUUGGCCUCACUUUCCUCUUCUUUCCUUUGGAAUUCAAAGCCUACGUUCACUAUUUUGAAUGUAUUCUCCCCUGUAGUCUAUGCCCCAUAUCUCCUUGACCUUCUAAUAAAGCUUUCCCAACAACCCUAAUAUUCAGGAAAACUUGGUCACCAUUUUCUUGCUUAUUGCUUUGAAGUCACCAGGGAGACUAAAGAAAAUCUAAUGAAUGUGCUGAUUAGAUAACAUCUGAGCAGGGAGCACUUACAGAUGCUUGAUCAGCUUCUUGUGCUGAUUAGAUAACAUCUGAGCAUGGAGCACUUACAGAUGCUUGAUCAACUUCUUAUUCAUCCCUGGUGGACUCCCUUUCCCUUUUACCAAAGUGUUCAGAUUUUUUUUUAAGGAUUUAUUUAUUUGAGAGAGGUGGGCAAGGGGCAGAGGGAGAGAGAGUGUCUUAAGCAGACUCCAGGCUGAUCACAGAGCCCAACUCAGGGAUCGAUUUCAUGACCCUUUGAUCAGGCCCUGAGCCAAAACCAAGAGACGGACACAACCAGCUGCAUUACCCAGGUGCUCCACAAUGUUCUUAUUUCUGUGUCUCUCUUCAAGUCCCUCAUCCCAGUCUAAAACGCUGCCACUCUCAAGGGUCAACCUAGCCCAUCUCUACUAGCAGGCCACUGGUCUGAAAGGCUUAAGUAUUACCUCGUUGAAUGCUCACAACAGCCCUUUGAGGGAGGCACUAUCAUUAUUCCUAUCCUACAGAUGCCUAAGAUCUUAAAGAAAGUAAGUGGUGGAUCUGAACUCAGGAAAUUUGUCUCAAAGCUCACACAUGCUCUCCCUAAACUGUCUUAUUUAUGGUGCAGAGCUGACUCCAGGAGUUUUCUCACUAGGGCUUGAGUUCUCCCCACCUCCAAACAUCUAUGUGUCUUCCUUGGAAGCUGUUCUCUCCCUACCCCUCUCAGCCAACAUCCUACCAAAGCUCUAUAUCCCGAUCCCACCUAGCUGUUCAGGGGCCUUCUCCAUCAUUUGUUUAUUCACUUAGCAAGUACAUAGUAAGUACCUGUUGUAUACCAGGUAUUGGGGACACAGGUAGACAAGGCCUAAUCUUCCAACCUAGGAGAUUAUCUAAUUAUUCACUCUCCCCCUUAAGUAUUCAGUAUCUGGCCAGCUCCUAGACCAUUCUUCGCAUUAAUAGAGUGUUGGAAUCACUGGACAUUUUACACUACACCUAGCACUGACCCGGGCAGGACACCAGAUACAUGUCUGACAGAUGGCUGAAUGAUUCCAGAAACUUCCACAUCAAUCUAACAGUGGAUAAAUGAAUCACAGUCUUAAUUAACAUUUCCAGAAAUAUGCUGAUGGGCAGCUGUAAGAAAGUGGAAUAUAGGAUAUUGACUCACCCAGGACUUUGGAAGGUGACACCUCAUUGAUAAAUACAAGGUUGCAUGGAUAGAUACUAUUUUGUUCUAUGAGUGACAAGUAACGUCAGAAGACUGGUUUCCAGGAAUGCAAUGCACUUAAAAUAAUGACAGUUACUUCAUUUGAGCCAUAAAGGAGAGAGCAUAAAGGAAAGAGGUGGACAGUUCAGGGGAACAUACUGGGAUCCGACUGGCAGUCCCUGGAAUCACCUCUGCCUAUUAAGUGUCUAUGAUUUUAUCAUUGCUAGAGCCAGGUUGUAAAAUCUAGCAUGCGACAAGAGCCUCCUGUGUCAGCUGUGGCUCCCAGAACGGUGGUUGGCAAUCCUGAGUCUCCAGGAGGAAUUCAAACAAUGCAGACCUCCACAGCUCCAGGCUUUCAGCCUGAAUGGAAUGGUAGGGACCAAAUUACUGUUCCUAUUGGCAUUGAAGAUUGGUCACUACGCUAUCCUGUCUCGUUCAGCUCAUUAUCCAUGGAAAGAACUCGGCAAACUUUUUUCUUACUCAGAGAUUUCCCUAUCACUCUUCGCAACUUGGAGAACUCUUGAAAAAAAAAAUGUCCUUGAGUUUCAAGAAAAACCAGCCAUUAAAAUCUUUUGGGGGAUCUGGGGAAAGAUGAUUUAAAUUGGGAUGAUUUUUAAAAACUGUUUUAGGUGGGUGAGGGGAUGGGUAAAAUAGGUGAUGAGGGUUAAGGAGGGCCCUUGCUUUGCUGAGCACUGGGUGUUAUAUGGAAGUGUUGACUCACUGUACUGUACACCUGAACUGAUUUUUUAUAUUGGAAGUUAA